UACGAAGGGUGCUAGCGUUGUUCGGAAUCACUGGGCGUAAAGCGCGCGUAGGCGGCGAUACAAGUCAGAGGUGAAAGCCUGGAGCUCAACUCCAGAACUGCCUUUGAAACUGUAUUGCUAGAGUGUCGGAGGGGAUAGCGGAAUUGCUAAUGUAGAGGUGAAAUUCGUAGAUAUUAGCAGGAACACCGGUGGCGAAGGCGGCUAUCUGGACGACAACUGACGCUGAGGCGCGAAAGCGUGGGGAUCAAACAGG
rnacentral:rRNA from 1 species